UUCAGUGCUGUAUUGAGCUCCUCUUUGAAAUUAACAAAGUAAAAAUACAUUAAUAAAACAACACCAGAUUGCAGUGAGAAGAAAAGAAGAAAAUACACUGACAUUUUCAGACAUAUUAGUUCUUGACGGGGAUAAAACAUGUAUUCUAUGUUGACUUGGGUUUGCUUUGUUUUAUAUUUUGUUGGAAGAGUAAAAAUAUUUGGUAUGAGAGACAAAAAACGGGUUACACUCGCUUCACUCUCCAGUCCAGCGGGUGGCGCUAAUAUCACACACGUCUUUUUGCCAAACAACAUUAAAUCUCAGAAGAAGAAGAUUCGUUUCACCGCGCUCUCUGUUGUUUUGUCGUGAUGCUGGUUUAAUACAAACGGUUAGAAAUAUUGUUUCUGUAAAUAGAAAAAUACAGUUUUAGAAAUCAACAAAUACCUGUGAUAUUUUCAUCCUCACAGUCUUUAAGAUUUGAAGCUGGCAGGAAUAUUUUGAGGAGUAUCAUCUGAACUGAGAUCUGCUGCUGUGAAGAUGGAGUUUAAAGAGGAGAGUGAAGAGAACACGAGUGAACCAGAAACCUGCAGAAUAAAACACGAGGAACCAGAAACCUGGAGAAUAAAACACGAGGAACCAGAAACCUGGAGAAUAAAACAAGAGGAACCAGAAACCUGGAAAAUAAAACACGAGGAACCAGAAACCUGGAGAAUAAAACACGAGGAACCAGAAACCUGGAGAAUAAAACACGAGGAACCAGAAACCUGGAGAAUAAAACACGAGGAACAAGGAGAUCCCCCAAAAUCCUACCAGAAGCUUUCACCUGCACGGAGUAACGUCAGGCCAAAGUUGCUGUUGCAAAUCAGCCUGACCCUCCGAUAACAACAACAGUGCCAGGCCUACAUGUACAUGGGUUCAGUGCAGGGCCAGCUAUGGCUACAUCUUCAAAUACCCCCCUCCCACAAGAUGAUGGUCUGUGGAUGUUUCUUCAGAGCCGAGGGAUUCCUGAGGAAAAUAUACAGAAAAUGCAGCAAGAUCAUAUUGACAGCUCGGUAGUUGGAGAAAUAGAUGAUGCCACUAUGACUGCUUACAUUCCAGCAUAUGGUGAUAGGAUUGCUACAAGGCGUUUCUGUAUGGAAAAACAGAGAAAAGGUGGAGAUGAUCUAAAAAGACUGUCCUUAUUUGAAAAACUUAGAAGAAAGAUGGGCACAUUGACAAGCAAUAAAGACACAGAUCAAGAUUUUGAGGAGGAGCAUUCUAUGCAGCCAACAAAGAUGCAUCUGAGAAAUAACAAAAGGGCCAUGAAGAUGACAAGGAAAAUAGAACUAGGAUGGAUACACAACAAGAAACAAGUGAGAAAACGCAAUGGUGGAGGAACCAGAGUUCUUGAUAUUUCCAAGAAAGCCACAAAAACAGAGAUUCUAUCACAAGCUAAAAAGCUAUUUUUCCCCAAUGAGAAAUCGAGAAAGGGAAAGUGGGAAGAGUUCAGUCACAGCAUUGUUGACUUUCAGGAAGCAUACCUUGAUGAGGGUGUUAGUGUGGGAGAGCUCUAUGAAACACAAAAAUUGGGGAUUUUAAGAUUUUACUUGUUCACAGAGCACCUGACAAAUGGAGAUGAAGUAUUCACAGAGACGACAGAAGGAACUGAUGAACAGACAGAUGCAGCGAGUGUAAAUGAGCGACAGAAAAACACAACAGAAGAUAAUAAGCAGAUGACACAAAAACCACAUGACAGUGAACAGCAGACACACACUGUGGAAGCUUUUGUCUCUACUGCUGUAGAGAUUGUUGAUCUUACAUCUUUGUGUGAUACAUCGGAGGUCAUUUUUGGCCCUUUGCAAGGUGGACCAUUUUUAGAAGAUCUUGAUGACACAAUCUUACAUGAGCCUAUAGAAGAGGCCCAGAUAAACAUCGACGCCAAUAGCUCAACUACUGUCCAUUCUGACACCGUGUCUGCUGGCCCAUUAAGUCCUCCUUAUGAACUGUUGCAUGUGACAGUGAAACUCCACAGAGUCAAUCUCUUGGAGGAACUGAUUAUCCAAUUCAAGGAUGAAGCGAUGAUGUCCUACACUGUGAAAUACAGCUUCAUUCAUGAAAUGGGGGCAGAUGCUGAUGGCGUGUCCAGGGAUGUAUAUGCUGCCUUCUGGACAGAGUUUUUAGACUGUGCAGCAGAGGGUGCAGAUGUGAGGGUGCCAUCACUAUCCCCAAAAUGGCAAGAGGAAGAAUGGAAAUCUGUUGGUAGGAUAAUGGUCAAGGGAUUAAAGGACCAUGGAUAUUUUCCUUCUCGGCUGGCUCAAGCUUUUACAGCAGCAAUCACAUUUGGUGAACACACUGUCUCACCUGAUUUAUUGUUUGACUCACUAAUGUUGUAUCUUAGUCAGUCUGAGCGCGAUCUCUUGUCCACUGCUUUGCAAGACGCCCUUGAUGGUGAUGAUAAAGAUGAACUUCUUGAUCUUAUGGAUCGCAUGGGAGUAAGAACAGUACCAACACAAGAGAACUUGAAAGCUGUACUUCUCCAAGUUGCCCACAAGCAAAUAAUCCAGCAACCAAAAUAUGCACUGGAUAACAUUGCAGCAGUCGCAGGACCAACUCUCAGGGAAUUCUUCCCCAGUGUGCUGGAUAUGCAGAAGAUGUAUGAGGAUCUUAAACCAUCAACCCGAAAGGUAUUAAGGUUGAUCACGGCCUCUCCAGCUACUCCAGCUGAGAACCAAAGUUUGCGAUUUUUACAUCAAUACAUCAGGGGACUGGAUGAGAUAGGCCUCCGGAAGAUGUUGAGAUUCGUGACAGGGUCUGAUGUCAUCUGCGUUAAAGACAUUCAAGUCAUAUUCACCCCUUUGGAAGGGUUAUCAAGGCGGCCUAUUGCACAUACUUGUGGCCCAACUUUAGAGCUGCCAUCAACUUACAACAGCUAUCCUGACCUCCGAGCUGAAAUGGAGGCUAUACUGUCCAGCAACUUCUAUGCAAUGGACAUUGCAUAG
rnacentral:lncRNA from 1 species